rnacentral:lncRNA from 1 species
AUUUAAAACACCCACCCGUUGCUAACAAAUCAACCAAGUAAAUACUAGUAUGAAACAUAAUAAAUUACUCAAAAUGUCACUCAGCUGGAGAAAUUUUCCUAAACUUUUUUUGGUUUUGCCAGUGUUGCAUUUUGCGCUCGCGGCAGUGAUCGAAAUUGAAUCUGCAGAACAGAAACGGAUGAGAAUGUUGGGUGAGCAUAUACAAACUUAUAGAUAGAGGUAGAAUUACAGCAAUUAAAUAUCUGCAGCUAAAACUAAUGUGGAGACCAUUGCAGCAGCCAUGAAGCGGCAGAAGGAGGACAUAAAAGAGUGCUAAGGAGUCCACACACACCCUGUAAGGGAGUUACCCCAAAAGUCCAAACCAAAUGCCAAACCCCUUCGACAAAGACUUAUCGACAAGUGAAACGGAAGCAGAGUCAAGGUGCAAGCAAGCAAACCCCAAAAAAUCAUUACACCUGUUCAUAGUAGGGGAAAAAUUAAGAGAGAACUCUGGCCAAGUUCUGAGUGUAGAAAGCGUGGAAAUCGAAUGAAGAAGAGACAAGAGAGGGAGAGGGAGCGAAACAGUGCCCGAAAAUUUAACGCUCAUGGUUCCGUCGAAAGGGUUGUCUUUUUCCUUUUUUCAGGGGUGACUCUUUAUAUUUUUCUUGUAGCUGUUUUACAAUUUUUGAGAAUUGGAAUUGGUCACGCUGCCACGGCCGCUGCACUUUGUUGCAUGCAACGGGAAAACUUCAUCGAAAAAUUAAUAUGCUUAAUGAGCAGGCCGUGGCCAGUCACUGAUAGACAUCUGCAACAAGUGGCAGCUGCAUCUAGAUUUUUGCACGAAACUUCGUUAUAAUUGUUAUUAGCUUAAAUAUAUUUUUGGACUCCUCGGAAUAAUUAGCACUACUCUUAGGUGACAGCUGCCGGUCUGUCUUUCCCGCAAUUAAUGAGCAAAAGAAAGGUCUAAGGAUAAGCCUUUGUCUGCCUCUUAAUUAUAGUAAUUUAUUAUCUAUGCAUCACAUUUUUUGGCUACCAAAAAAGGGUUGCCAUGUGGCAGCUGGAAAUGGAAUGAUAUCCCAAAAAUAAAGUUUUAAUUUGAAUGCCCAACUAAAGCAGGGUCUGUGGUUGGCAGGUGGAAAGGAAAAGAGUAUGGGAUGCGCAGAUAGACAGAGAGUACAUGGAUAAAUUCAACCUCAAAUAACUCCAGCACUCCCUCAAGGUUAGCUCCCAGACUUUUACUCAACAUCUAUAAUACAACAGUUGACCAAAUUGUCCCUCAAGGCAAAUGCAGAACUACCUCAAAUUGUAGUAUAAUUUAUUUCCCAAGUUUCUCAACAUUUUAG